rnacentral:rRNA from 1 species
UACAGAGGGUGCGAGCGUUGUCCGGAAUUACUGGGCGUAAAGGGCGCGUAGGCGGCCUGAUAAGUAGGAGGUGAAAUUCCAUGGCUCAACCAUGGAUCGGCCUUCUAGACUGUCAGGCUUGAGCACGGUAGAGGCAGAUGGAAUUCCCGGUGUAGCGGUGGAAUGCGUAGAGAUCGGGAAGAACACCAGUGGCGAAGGCGGUCUGCUGGGCCGUUGCUGACGCUGAGGCGCGACAGCGUGGGGAGCAAACAGGAUUAGAAACCCCCGUAGUCC